rnacentral:lncRNA from 1 species
CUGGAUUCCAGGAGUAUGGUUCAGUGCUUAGCUGCGGGUGCCUGUUUCUGCUUUGAACAGGUACUGGAUGAAGGCUCAAGGAAUGGUAACCAAGAUAGCAUCAACAGAAAGCUCAAAUCUACUGACUGUGGAACGUGCUUGGAUCUUUGAAGAGCCAAUGUGGCUGGAGCUGAAUAAGAAGGGCCAUGCUCAACAUGAAAUUCAGAAAGCACCAGAGAGAGCAGUAGGCAGGGUUUGUAAAGACACAACCAUGAUCUAGAUGAAAAACAGUAGAAAAAAAAAAAAGCGGAGAAAGUCCUGAGAAGAUGAAUGACUUGAUCCAACACCUGCUUUUGAAACAUUAGACUGUUUGCAUGAGUCGACCCUGGACAUUUGUUAAUAACCUAUGAGAAGACUACUUCAUAGCUACAGGUGUGAGCCCUCAGCUUCCUGUUGUUGCUGCCAUCCCUAUCAGUAGCUGUCUGGUUUCUCUUCCAUGAUGGACUCAGCUAUCUGGAACCAUAGUCCAAAUAAACUACUUUUUCCAGAAGUUGUCUUAGUCACAGUAACAGAAAAGUAACCACUGCAACAAGCUUGAGCAAAUCUAUUAUUUAGGUAUCAUUUAUCUAUUUAUGUCUGUCUGUCAUCUAUCAAAAUCUAUCAUCUAUCCAUCUCUUUAUCUAUCAUCUACCUGUCAUCAUUUAUCUAUCAACCAUCUAUCUAUCUAACAUCUAUCUGCCUAUCUGUCUGUCUUAGUCAGUGUUCUGUUGCUGUGAAGAGACACCGUGACCAAGGCAACUCUUAUAAAAGAAAGCAUUUAAUUGGGGGCUUGCUUACAGUUUCAUAGGUUAAGCCCACUAUCAUCAUGGCGUGUUGCAUGGCAGCAGGUUUGGUAGGUGCUGGAGAAGCAGUUGAGAACUACGUCCUGAUCAUCAGAGGAGAGACACUGAACUUGGCUUGGACUUUUGAACCCUCAAAGCCGUCUCCAGUGACAUACUUCUUCCAACAAGGCCACACUUCUUCAUCCUUUCAAAUAGUGCCAUUCUCUGGUGACUAAGCAUUCAAAUAUAUGAGCCUAGGGACGACACUCUUAUUCAAACCAAUACUGUAUCUCAUCUACCUAUCUUUGUAUGUGUCUGUCUAUUAUCUAUUAUCAUUGAUAUAUCUAUAGCUAUACAUAAUAACUGGAUAAUAUAUAAUCUUUAGAUAAAAUUAAUCUCAUGCCAGAAAUUAAAG